UCAGGAUGAACGCUGGCGGCGUGCCUAACACAUGCAAGUCGAACGAAGCACAACCACAGAAACUACUUCGGAGCGGAAGAGGAUGUGACUGAGUGGCGGACGGGUGAGUAACGCGUGGGCAACCUGCCCUGUACAGGGGGACAACAGCCGGAAACGGCUGCUAAUACCGCAUAAGCGCACAGCUUUGCAUGAAGCAGUGUGAAAAACUCCGGUGGUACAGGAUGGGCCCGCGUCUGAUUAGCUGGUUGGCGGGGAUAGAAGCCCACCAAGGCGACGAUCAGUAGCCGGCCUGAGAGGGUGGACGGCCACAUUGGGACUGAGACACGGCCCAGACUCCUACGGGAGGCAGCAGUGGGGAAUAUUGCACAAUGGGGGAAACCCUGAUGCAGCGACGCCGCGUGAGCGAAGAGGUAUUUCGGUAUGUAAAGCUCUAUCAGCAGGGAAGAAAAUGACGGUACCUGAGUAAGAAGCUCCGGCUAAAUACGUG
rnacentral:rRNA from 1 species